rnacentral:lncRNA from 1 species
AUUGAAUUUUACGGCUUAAUCUCGUAUAUUUCAUAAUUCUGAGUAAAUAGGUACAUACAAUCCUUAUUGUAAAAGGAAACAAAUAAAGGACAUAUUGUCCUUCCCAAACAAGACUAAUAAUUAUAGAAUAUUUACAUUCAUUUUCUCCUAAAUAUUGACUUAUUCCAAUACUCCCUAUCAAGUUGGAGCAUAGAUAUUACUCAUGCCCAACUUGACUAGUGAAUCAUCAAAACACCUACGACACACGGCAUGGGUAAGAAUGUCUGCAAGUUGUUCUUCUAAGUUCACAAACGGUAUUGACACAAUCUUCUUCUCCAGCUUUUCUUUGAUAAAAUGCCUGUCAACCUCCACAUGUUUAGUCAUAUCAUGCUGUACCGCAUUCUUAGCUAUUUCUCUGGUGGACUUAUUAUCACAAUACAACUCCAUUGCUUAUGUCUGUUUAAAACCGAGACUCCAAAGUAACUUCUGUAACCAAAGAAUCUCACACACACCCUAUGCCAUUCCCAUAUACUCGGCUUCAGCAGAGCAUCGUGAUACUACAUUCUGUUUCUUGCUUCGCCAAGUGACCAAAUUACCUUCAACAAAUGUAAAAUACCCAGAUGUCGAUCUUCUAUUAGUCACGUCACCUGCCCAAUCAGCAUCGGUAAAACCUUCAAUUCUCAUAUGUCCAUGACACGCAUACAAGAUCCCUUUACCAAGUGCAAACUUCAAAUAAGCCAAGAUCCUCAUUAUUGCCGCCAUAUAAUCCACACUUGGUGAGUGCAUGAAUUGACUCAUUACACUUACAGCAUAGGCAAUAUCCAGACGAGUGUGAGACAAAUAAAUCAUUCUCCCCACCAGCCUUUGAUACCUACCCUUGUCAACUGGUUCUUGAUCUGGAUAAAUCCCUAAAUAAUGUUUUUCCACGAUGGGAGUGUCCACCGGUUUACAUCCCAGCAUUCCUGUUUCCUUUAAUAAAUCCAGAACAUAUUUGCGUUGAGACAAGAAAAUACCUCUAGAUGACCGAGCGACCUCCACACCAAGAAAAUAUUUCAAAUCUCCCAAAUUCUUCAUCUCGAAUUUGGCAGCCAGGUUUCGUUCCAGCCUCAUCAUCUCUUUUGUAUCAUCACUCGUUAUUAUAAUAUCAUCCACAUAGAUAAUUAAGGUCGUCACUUUUCCACUUCUCCGUUUCACAAAUAACGUAUGAUCCGAGUGACUCUGAUAAUACCCAAUGUACGUGACCAUGGAUGUUACUGGCCAUAUGUAUGUGACCAUGGAUGUUACUUUUUUGGAGUCUGAGUAUUUCUAUGGUUCGAGUCCAUCACCUUCUGAUCACCAGGGGGAGAAUAUUAUCGGUGAUCUUGGGUGGUUGGAAAUAUGUAGCUCAUGGACAGAGUAUACUAAAGAAGGGAGCUGUGAAAGCUCUCGGCAUACUGCAGAAAGGUGCCGUGAAGGCUCUCCACAUGAGCAUGCUGAGCACUGAAGUGUUAUUCAACCACAUAAGCCCUCUCGGCAACAGCUUGCCGUGGGUGGUGAAGAAAGUCGGCAUGAAGCUGUCGACCCAGUCACUCCACUACUUACCAAAUCUGCAACCCCCUAUCUCUCGACUUUAAUAGUGCCACCCAAUGUAUCUCCUCUGGUCUGAAUAUCCUGAAGUAAACAAAACAAUGGAUACAUAAGUACAACACAAUCUAAUUGCUCAGUAACUUGAGGAAUAUACAACAAAUUAUGAGACAACGAGAGAACAAAAAGGUAAUGAUGAAGAGGAAGGGUCGGCAUGAGAUGCACAAUGUCUGCCCCAAAAACCGGUGUUGUUUGUCCAUUGGCAGUUGCAAUACAUUUCCGUGAACUCGUUGUCAUACUAGUAAAUAAAUUCUUAUCAAAAGUCAUAUGAUCGGUUGCACCCGAGUCUAGAAUCCAACAUGUACGAUGUUCCGUAUCAGAGGCUAAAAACACAUGCCUUAUACUACAUGGAAUGGCCGGGGUUUCACUAGGAGUGGUCAUAGUCAGCAAACUUUGACUUGGAUCACCUGUGGGGGGCGGCAUCCUUAGGAGCACUGGUCAUGGAUGCACGAUCGCCACCUGCUCCACCAGCACCUCGUUCCUUUGCACGCAACUUUUUUUUCAAUUCCGGAAACCAUUCUGGUACUCCAUGUUAUUGAAAACAUGUAUAUUCUGUAUGGCGGAUUUUCCCACAAAAGGUACAUUUCAAGUCAUCCUUAUUUUCCCGAGUGACAGGCCGAGAAGUUGUUGAUGAUGAAGGAUUAAAGGUUCAGCUACUCGAAGGUGGCCGGGACACCAUAGCCACGGGAGAGAUAGUUGUUGAUGAUGAAAGAUUAAAGGUUUGGGUACCCGAAGGUGGCCGAGACACCAUAGCCAUGGGAGAGAUUUCCUCCUGAUUCCCAAUGCCAUGACUACCCAUCAUUGUUGCAUGGCGUUGCGCUUCCCGCCUCACAAUAGAGAACACUUCCUCCACAUAUGGUAAAGGUUGUGAUCUCAAGAUAUCACUACGCACCUUAUCAAAUAUAUCAUCAAGCCCUGCUAAGAAGGCAUACACACGAUCUAGUUGGAUUUCCUCUCAAAGUGUCUUUAAGUCACCAGCACAUUCCAUCUUGAUUGGUCUUCUCUGAUCCAAUUCUUGCCAAAAAGUUUUGAGAUCGGCAUAGUAUACACCGAUAGGCCUCCAUUCUUGUCGAAAUCUGAAUGACUUCACUUUCAACUCAUAAAUCUGAGAAAUAUCAAACCCAUCAUAAUACGUUCGAGCAACUUCUUCCCAAACUUCUCCAGCAGUACAAAGAUGGAUGAAAAAACCCAUGAUGGUAGGAUCCAUGGAAUUAAUCAACCACCCUUUCAUAAUAGCAUUCCCCGUCUCCCAAGCUUCAUACUCGGCACUGUCUUCCUUGGGUUCUUUGAUGCUUCCUAUCACAAACCCUUUCUUACCACGCCUAGCGAUAUGCAUCUCCAACACAUUGGACCAAAUAGGAUAAUUUGAUCCAUUAAGUUUUACAGUACUAGGUACCGCCAAAGCAGCACUCUGAAUAACAACUAGGUUUACGACUGAACUGUGAGUAGAACCCUGUGAUCCACCCUCCAACUUCAGCCCCAAGUCUCCUUUGUCACUCGCCAUAGGUCACGGCACACACAAGCACACUGCACAGCAAACACGCACACUGCACGACAAACUGUUCUUGCUGCAGGUAUCCAGUGAAAAAACCAGUUUUUGUCUUCCUCUCUUCCUUCACGACAUAUGCAGCAUGACAUCACAGUGGGAUUAGGGUUACAUCUUGGCUCUGAUGCCAAAUUGAAUUUUACGGCUUAUUCUCGUAUAUUUCAUAAUUAUGAGUAAAUAGGUACAUACAAUCCUUGUUGUAAAAGGAAACAAAUAAAGGACAUAUUGUCCGUCCUAAACAAGACUCUAAUAAUUACAUAAUAUUUACAUUCAUUUUCUCCUGAAUAUUGACUUAUUCCAAUAUAUAUAUGCCACGAAUCAAUUGUAUGAAUGCGAAUAUCUGGAUCCUCUUUGUGAGGAUCUCGAAAAUUUAUAAAUCGUGCAUCAUGCGGUCAAAAAUCAUAUUAUUAUUUUUAUUUAAAAUUGAAC